rnacentral:rRNA from 1 species
CCUACGGGAGGAGGCAGCAGUGGGGAAUAUUGGACAAUGGGCGCAAGCCUGAUCCAGCAAUGCCGCGUGGGUGAAGACGGCCUGCGGGUUGUAAAGCCCUUUAGGCGGGGAAGAACGGCCGGGCGCAAACAUCGCGCGGCUCUGACGUUACCCGCAGAAUAAGCACCGGCUAACUCCGUGCCAGCAGCCGCGGUAAU